GAUGAAGAACGUAGCGAAAUGCGAUAAGUAAUGUGAAUUGCAGAAUUCAGUGAAUCAUCGAAUCUUUGAACGCACAUUGCGCCCGCCAGUAUUCUGGCGGGCAUGCCUGUUCGAGCGUCAUUACAACCCUCAGGCCCCCGGGCCUGGCGUUGGGGAUCGGCGGAGCCCCCCGUGGGCACACGCCGUCCCCCAAAUGCAGUGGCGGUCCCGCCGCAGCUUCCAUCGCGUAGUAGCUAACACCUCGCGACUGGAGAGCGGCGCGGCCACGCCGUAAAACACCCAACUCUUCUGAAGUUGACCUCGAAUCAGGUAGGAAUACCCGCUGAACUUAAGCAUCUCAAUAAGCGGAGGA
rnacentral:misc_RNA from 1 species